GUCAGACAAUUCAGGGUUUGGGCAAUGGCGGGAUGUAGAAGGCAAGAACAUUUUAAGGAUUUAUCUAAUAUGAAACUUCAAUAUGUAAAAUGUAACCCCUAUCUUUCCAUUACGGGGUAUAAUGUGUGUGGCUGUGGGUAAAGGAACAUCCGGGCAAUAGGUUGAGAGAAAUGAAAACUGCAAUGGUGCAUGCAACCGGAAGUUAGAUCAUUUAUCCCACUUGCCUUUUGCGUCACUGGUGAGAAUGUGGCAUGUUCAUCCACUUUGGUCUUUCAGGAAUAAGAAGACAAGCUGAUGUCAUCACCAGAACUUAUCCUUCCACAUGAUCACAGGAAUAAGCUGAUCAAGCAAUGCUUUUUUUUUCCAUAUUUACUGGAGGGGCCUGCUGCCAUGGAGAGUCACAGAUGACAUCAAGACCAAACAGCCAAUAACAAACUGAGGGAGUACACAGGAGGGGUUCCACUGGAGUUACGCAUCUGAGAUACAGCUCUGUAUCUUGUCCACCCACUGCUGAGCCAUUUGAGCGUCUUGUGCACAGAAGUUAUACAUCCGUUUGGUUGUUUUCAG